rnacentral:rRNA from 1 species
AUUGAACGCUGGCGGCAUGCUUUACACAUGCAAGUCGAACGGUAACAGGCCGCAAGGUGCUGACGAGUGGCGAACGGGUGAGUAAUGCAUCGGAACGUGCCCAGUCGUGGGGGAUAACGCAGCGAAAGCUGCGCUAAUACCGCAUACGACCUAUGGAUGAAAGCGGGGGACCGUAAGGCCUCGCGCGAUUGGAGCGGCCGAUGUCAGAUUAGGUAGUUGGUGGGGUAAAGGCUCACCAAGCCAACGAUCUGUAGCUGGUCUGAGGGGACGACCAGCCACACUGGGACUGAGACACGGCCCAGACUCCUACGGGAGGCAGCAGUGGGGAAUUUUGGACAAUGGGCGCAAGCCUGAUCCAGCAAUGCCGCGUGCAGGAAGAAGGCCUUCGGGUUGUAAACUGCUUUUGUACGGAACGAAACGGUCCUGGUUAAUACCUGGGGCUAAUGACGGUACCGUAAGAAUAAGCACCGGCUAACUACGUGCCAGCCGCCGCCGUAAUAC